GAUGAACGCUGGCGGCGUGCCUAAUACAUGCAAGUCGAACGCUGAAGGAGGAGCUUGCUCUUCUGGAUGAGUUGCGAACGGGUGAGUAACGCGUAGGUAACCUGCCUGGUAGCGGGGGAUAACUAUUGGAAACGAUAGCUAAUACCGCAUGACAACAGUUAUUGCAUGAUAACUGUUUAAAAGGGGCAACUGCUCCACUACCAGAUGGACCUGCGUUGUAUUAGCUAGUUGGUGAGGUAACGGCUCACCAAGGCGACGAUACAUAGCCGACCUGAGAGGGUGAUCGGCCACACUGGGACUGAGACACGGCCCAGACUCCUACGGGAGGCAGCAGUAGGGAAUCUUCGGCAAUGGACGGAAGUCUGACCGAGCAACGCCGCGUGAGUGAAGAAGGUUGUCGGAUCGUAAAGCUCUGUUGUAAGAGAAGAACGAGGGUGAGAGUGGAAAGUUCACACUGUGACGGUAGCUGACCAGAAAGGGACGGCUAACUACGUG
rnacentral:rRNA from 1 species